UACGGAGGGUGCAAGCGUUAAUCGGAAUUACUGGGCGUAAAGCGCACGCAGGUGGCUGAGAAAGUCGAUUGUGAAAGCCCUGGGCUUAACCUGGGAAUUGCAGUCGAAACUACUCGGCUAGAGUAUGGGAGAGGGUAGUGGAAUUCCCGGUGUAGCGGUGAAAUGCGUAGAUAUCAGGAGGAACACCGGUGGCGAAGGCGGGUCUCUGGGCCGAUACUGACGCUGAGGAGCGAAAGCGUGGGGAGCGAACAGG
rnacentral:rRNA from 1 species